UGGAUAGGAGACAAGAAGGCAUCUUCUUGUUUUUAAAAGACCUAGCAAUAGGUAUGCUUAGGGAGGAGCUUGCGUCACAUUAGUUAGUUGGUGGGGUAAAGGCCUACCAAGACUAUGAUGUGUAGCCGGGCUGAGAGGUUGAACGGCCACAUUGGGACUGAGACACGGCCCAAACUCCUACGGGAGGCAGCAGUAGGGAAUUUUCGGCAAUGGAGGAAACUCUGACCGAGCAACGCCGCGUGAACGAUGAAGUAUUUCGGUACGUAAAGUUCUUUUAUUAGGGAAGAAUAAAUGAUGGAAAAAUCAUUCUGACGGUACCUAAUGAAUAAGCCCCGGCUAACUAUGUGCCAGCAGCCGCGGUAAUACAUAGGGGGCAAGCGUUAUCCGGAAUUAUUGGGCGUAAAGGGUGCGUAGGCGGUUAAAUAAGUUUAUGGUCUAAGUGCAAUGCUCAACAUUGUGAUGCUAUAAAAACUGUUUAGCUAGAGUAAGAUAGAGGCAAGUGGAAUUCCAUGUGUAGUGGUAAAAUGCGUAAAUAUAUGGAGGAACACCAGUAGCGAAGGCGGCUUGCUGGGUCUUUACUGACGCUGAGGCACGAAAGCGUGGGGAGCAAACAGGAUUAGAUACCCUGGUAGUCCACGCCGUAAACGAUGAGUACUAAACGUUGGGUAAAACCAGUGUUGAAGUUAACACAUUAAGUACUCCGCCUGAGUAGUACGUACGCAAGUAUGAAACUUAAAGGAAUUGACGGGACUCCGCACAAGCGGUGGAUCAUGUUGUUUAAUUCGAAGGUACCCGAAAAACCUCACCAGGUCUUGACAUGCUUCUGCAAAGCUGUAGAAACACAGUGGAGGUUAUCAGUUGCACAGGUGGUGCAUGGUUGUCGUCAGCUCGUGUCGUGAGAUGUUGGGUUAAGUCCCGCAACGAGCGCAACCCUUAUUGUUAGUUACCAGCACGUAAUGGUGGGGACUUUAGCAAGACUGCCAGUGAUAAAUUGGAGGAAGGUGGGGACGACGUCAAAUCAUCAUGCCCCUUAUGACCUGGGCUACAAACGUGAUACAAUGGCUGUUACAAAGGGUAGCUGAAGCGCAAGUUUUUGGCGAAUCUCAAAAAAACAGUCUCAGUUCGGAUUGAAGUCUGCAACUCGACUUCAUGAAGUUGGAAUCGCUAGUAAUCGCGAAUCAGCAUGUCGCGGUGAA
rnacentral:rRNA from 1 species